UACGGGGGGGGCAAGCGUUGUUCGGAAUUACUGGGCGUAAAGGGUUCGUAGGUGGCCCGCUAAGUCACACGUGAAAUCCCUCAGCUUAACUGGGGAACUGCGUGUGAGACUGGCGGGCUUGAGUGCAGGAGAGGAACGCGGAAUUCCAGGUGUAGCGGUGAAAUGCGUAGAUAUCUGGAGGAACACCGGUGGCGAAGGCGGCAUCCUGGGCCGGUAUUGACGCUGAGGAGCGAAAGCCAGGGGAGCAAACGGG
rnacentral:rRNA from 1 species